CACGCCCUAAACGAUGUCAACUAGUUGUCGGGGAUUCAUUUCCUUGGUAACGCAGCUAACGCGUGAAGUUGACCGCCUGGGGAGUACGGCCGCAAGGUUAAAACUCAAAGGAAUUGACGGGGACCCGCACAAGCGGUGGAUGAUGUGGAUUAAUUCGAUGCAACGCGAAAAACCUUACCUACGCUUGACAUGCCAGGAACUUUCCAGAGAUGGAUUGGUGCCCGAAAGGGAACCUGGACACAGGUGC
rnacentral:rRNA from 2 species